rnacentral:rRNA from 1 species
CCGGUGGACGGGGUGAAUAUCCCAAGGCGCGUGAGAGAACCCUGGUUAAGGAACUCUGCAAAUUGACACCGUAACUUCGGGAGAAGGUGUGCCGCUGGCGGUUAGUGACUUCGCGUCACGAAGCUGUUGGUGGUCGCAGUGAAAUGGCGGUUGUGACUGUUUACUAAAAACACAGGACUCUGCGAAGUCGUAAGACGACGUAUAGGGUCUGAUGCCUGCCCGGUGCUGGAAGGUUAAGGGGAUAUGUCAGCGCAAGCGAAGCAUUGAACCGAAGCCCCAGUAAACGGCGGCCGUAACAAUAACGGUCCUAAGGUAGCGAAAUUCCUUGUCGGGUAAGUUCCGACCUGCACGAGGGCAUAACAACAUCCGCACUGUCUCGACCAGGGACUCAGCGAAAUUACAUUGGGGGUGAAGAUGCCCUCUACCCGCGGAAAGACGGAAAGACCCCAUGAACCUUUACUGCAACUUGGCAGUGAUUUUCGGGUUGUUUCGUAGGAUAGGUGGGAGGCUUUGAAGCCGGGCUUCCGGGUUCGGCAGAGCCAACGUUGAAAUACCACCCUGAAUAAUCUGGAAAUCUAACCUGCGCCCAUGAUCUGGGCGAGGGACACUGCCUGGUGGGCAGUUUGACUGGGGCGGUCGCCUCCUAAAUUGUAACGGAGGCGUGCGACGGUUCCCUCAGGCUGAUUGGAAACCAGCCGUAGAGUGCAAACGCAUAAGGGAGCUUUACUGCGAGACUGACAAGUCGACCAGUUGCGAAAGCAGGUGUUAGUGAUCCGGUGGUACCACAUGGAAGGGCCAUCGCUCAUCGGAUAAAAGGUACUCUGGGGAUAACAGGCUGAUCGCGCCUGAGAGUUCACAUCGGCGGCGCGGUUUGGCACCUCGAUGUCGGCUCAUCGCAUCCUGGGGCUGGAGCAGGUCCCAAGGGUUUGGCUGUUCGCCAAUUAAAGCGGUACGCGAGCUGGGUUUAAAACGUCGUGAGACAGUUUGGUCCCUAUCUUCCGUGGGCGCAGGACACUUGAGAGGAGCUAUCCAUAGUACGAGAGGACCUGGAUGGACGAACCUCUGGUGCUCCGGUUGUCACGCCAGUGGCAUAGCCGGGUAGCCAUGUUCGGAACAGAUAACCGCUGAAGGCAUAUAAGCGGGAAGCUGGCCUCAAGACUAGGUGUCCCUGACGCAAGUCACUAAAGGCCCCUCGAAGACUACGAGGUUGAUAGGCUCGGUGUGGAAGCGCUGCGAGGCGCGGAGCUAACGAGUACUAAUAGGCCGUGAGGCUUGACCUC